rnacentral:rRNA from 1 species
UACGUAGGCAGCGAGCGUUGUUCGGAGUUACUGGGCGUAAAGAGUGCGUAGGCGGUUUUCUAAGUUUGGUGUGAAAUCUCCCGGCUUAACUGGGAGGGUGCGCCGAAAACUGGAAGGCUUGAGUAUGGGAGAGGUAAGCGGAAUUCCUGGUGUAGCGGUGAAAUGCGUAGAUAUUGGGAGGAACACCAGUGGCGAAGGCGGCUACCUGGACCGGUUCUGACGCUGAGGCGCGAAAGCGUGGGUAGCAAACAGG